rnacentral:lncRNA from 1 species
CAGGCCAUAUCAUUUGAGGUUGAGGUGCCACUAUACUGCCAUGGUUCCAGAUAAUAGGAACUCUUGCCAUACUUCCUACCGUUUCUACCAUCUGACCAUUUUGUUCACACCAGCUGAUCACACCAGCUGAACAUAGUACAACUGUGGCACUCAGACUGAGAGGUGCAAUUCAAGCUAAACAUCCCCUUAGGGGACCAAUCAAUAGUGAUUCCAU